rnacentral:lncRNA from 1 species
UUUGAAACUACUUAUGUAAAGGAAAUUUGGUAUGAACAGAUCUUUUUUUCCAUCAAAUUUUUGAAAAUUGCCACAUUGCAUAUGCUGCCCAUAAUUUAAUAACAUACAUUUACUUUGAUGUUAGGUCUCUGUGGACAAAAUAAGCUAUUUGAGUAUAAUUUCAAGUAAGAAUUUAAGAGUCAAGUAAGAAUUUAAGCUGCAUUAAUUUUUCUGAAGUAAAAGAAAUAUAUAUUUUCUUAUCUAGAGGUGAAAAGAAGCUUGGUAAAAAAAAAAAUAUGGCCUCAAAACAGGUGUAAUGCAUCAACUGAGUUAGGAAUGUCAGCAGAGCAACCCACAGAAAUUCACGUUUCAAGGCAUUGCUUAGUUCCAUCUGAAAAACAUAUGGUCUUUGGAGUCUGAAAGGACAGGUAAAAUUCCAGCUGCUCUCUUUAAUGCCAUUUUUGGUAAGUAAACCUUUCUCUUCCUUAUUGGCAGAAUUGGGAUAAUUGAUCAUAUUUGUUGUCUGAAUUAAUACGUUAAGCCAAAGUACCUGAUAUGUGGCAAAUGUUGCUAACAAAAACAACACAAUAAUAACUUUGAUAGUAAGAGCUGACAAUUAUUGUGUGCUUACCCUGGGCCAGUCAUGCAAGACACUGAAGAGUGUGCAAGUUUUCAAUUAUUUUGCUUUCCUGCUUAGUUUGGAAAAAAUCCAUGCAUUUCCCAUUUCCCUUUAAAAUGCAUAAUCUACACUUCCAUAAAAUACUUUGCAUUAUAGUCAGUAUUAUAGCAGGUUACCAUACUCAUCAUUGUAUGGUAAUAAUAGCUGGGAGUAAUAGCUGAUAUUUACUGAAUAUAUGCCAGGUACUUCAUAUGAAUAAUUUAUUUUAAAAUCUUAUUGUUUCAUUUUUUCUUCGAUUGUACCUAAAUUUAUAAUCCAUUAAUUCCAUCACCUUAUCACUCUCCAUCAUGCCUUGAUGAAUUCCCUGUUUUAUGAACUGAAUUGUGCCCUCCCCAUGAAAUUCAUGGGUUGAAGCCCUUAACCCUUAAUGUGACCGUAUUUGGAGAUAGGGGCUUUAAGGAGGGAAUUGAGGUUAAAUGAGACCACAAAAGUGGGGCCCCAAUCUAAUAGCACUAACAUGCUUAUAAAAAGAGGAAGAAAUGCCACAGAUCUGUCCCUCUCUUUAGGUCCACACAGAGAAAAGGCCAUGUGAGGACACAGCUAGAAGGCAGCCAUCUGAGAGCCAAGCAGACAGGUCUCAUCAGAUGCCAGCCCUGCCAGCACCUUUAUCUUGGACUUCCACUCUCCUAAGUUGUCAGAAAAUAAAUUUAUGUUGUUUAAGCCAACAUUCUAUUCCAUUUACUCUGUUAUAGCAACCUGAGCAGUCAUACCCUCUCUCUCCUCCUUAUUCCACUUAGCAUCCAUAGUGAGUAAUAAUAAUCAUUUAAUGGUAACUCUUCAACUUCCUUGCCCCUUGCAUCCUUCAUUUUACUUGAUGGGUCAACUUUAUCUUUCCACAUGACCCACUUAAUCUAUCUUUCCACCUGUUGCUUACCUACAAAAUGAACAUGGCUAGAGAAGAAGUCACACACCAUGCUGACUUUCAAUUCAUGAACAUAAAUAUCAAGUGAGCUCAUGGAGUCACCCAAAAUUUGAGUUUCCUUCGAUCAUUCAUUCUUCUACUCCUUUUAAUAUUAUAUAUCUUUCUGAUUAAAACUCAAGCAUCUCCCCUUCACUUUCCAUAUCUGCUGAUGCUUUUGCUUUCUAAACUACUAAGUGAUCAGAAUCAAAUAGAAAAGGGUCUUCAUAGGCCCAGUGCGGUGGCUCACGCCUGUAAUGCCAGCACUUCAGAAAGCUGAGGCGGGCAGAUCAUGAGGUCAGGAGAUCGAGAGCAUCCUGGCUAACAGGUUGAAACCCUGUAUCUACUAAAAAUACAAAAAAUUAGCCAGGCGUGGUGGCGGGUGCCUGUAGUCCCAGCUACUCAGGAGGCUGAGGCAGGAGAAUGGCAUGAACCUGGGAGGUGGAGCUUGCAGUGAGCUGAGAUCGCCCCACUGCCCUCCAGCCUGGGCGACAGAGCAAGACUCCGUCUCAAAAAAAAAAAAAAAAAAUAGGGUCUUCAUAAGCUUCCAUCAUUACUUGCACUCAUUUAACAUAUUCUGUUCUGUACCAACAAAUGCUGCCUUCCUCUUGAAACUAUAAACUGUUCAUGUAGUUCACUAAGAUGCUUAAUUUCAUCUUCUCUCACACACUCAGGACACCUCCUUAACAACUCUCUUAUUUUCAACAUUAUCCACUCUAUCCUGUGCUACUCCCCUCAGCACACACCUAUGCUGUUAUUACCUCCUUCUCAAAAAAUUUCUCUGGACUUUACUUACACCUCCAGCUACGAUCUAAUUUUUAUGUAAUCUAUGAAUAAUUUCGUAGUAAUAUAUAUAAUUCACAUAUACUUAGAAAAAUACCUAGAAAAUCAUUUGACUAAACUUUGAAAAGUAGCCAUCUCAGAGUAAUGGAUUAUCAUAUAAUCUAUUUCUCAAUCAUACUUUCUGUAAGCCUUGAUAACUGCCAUGCAUACAUAUUCAGUUAUGAGUGCACAUAAUUAUAUAACUAUAUAAAAUAUGAAUCAGAUAAUUCAAUAAUUAAAUAGAAUUAUUGCAUAUAAUUAAAAUGCAAAAUAAAGAUAAAAGUACGACCAUGUUUGUGGCAUUGUAGAUGGCACAUCUGCCUUGAAAAGCAAUGUGGCAAUCUCUAGCAGAAUUACAAGUGUACAUUCCUAGAAAUCCAACAAUUUCAUUUUUUAAAAUACACUUCAGAGGAAAAAGGAUACCUAUGUAAGGAUUUACAUGGGAGAAAUAAUUGUAAUCAUGGACAAUUUGAAAUAACCUAAAUAUGUGAGUAGAAUGCUUAAAAUGUUGGUAUUGGUUCCAGAUCCACAUAGGAGAUAUUGAAAAUAAUGUUAUAUAAAAAUAGAAAGAGAGGAUAAUACAUAGAACACGUUGCUGUGCAGUGUUUAAGAACACAUAUAAGAUAAUCUUAUAGUAAAUAGGAUGGAAGGAUUCUCAUAAAAGUCAGAUAGUUGUUGCCCCUGGAGAGUUUGAAUAGGAAUAUUACUGAGGGUAUUCAUCAAAGGGGACUUAGCUAAAUCUCUAAAGUUUUAUUUUAUUUUUGAAAGAAAAUGAGAAGCAAAUAAGACAAGAUAUUAGCAGUAGAUAUUCUAGGUGAUGAAAACAUGUUUAUAUUGUAUCUAAAAGUAUAUGUGUGUAUAUAUCCCUGUGUAUGUGUGUGUGUGUGUGUGUGUGUGUGUGUAUCCAUUUCUAUAAUUUAAAUUCUUUUAAAGGAAAAAGAAUUUUAAAAAGAGGAAGAAAAACAGAUACACUAAGGUGAAAGUACAUGGUCCAUAGAAAUUUGACUGCUAAUAAUCUUGACAGAUCUCAUUUACAGAUGCAGAGAUGAGAAUUCUUUCCAUUUAAUGGCUUUGCAACAUUACAUAUUAUUUCUUAAAAGAUAUGUGCAGGAAGGAUUAUUUUUAUGCAAUUAAGAUGGUGAAAAAUUAAGGUGCUGACAACUCCAAGAAUAAGAACUAUUCUGUGGGGAAGAAGGCUGAGCAAAAUGUUCAGAGAGAAGCUUCUAGUGAUCAUUCCCCACACUUCAGGAACACCACAUUGAGCAAUUGUCUAUUCAAAAAAGCACCUUUAUAAGUUCCAAAAACCAGGUGAGAAAUCACAGUACCUGGUUUUAAUAUUACAUCAAGGAAAGAAGCACUGCAGAGGACAGAAAAGACAGUCUUGAAUUGACAAUAUUUUUCAUGUGGAGUUGAAUUUAGUUUGACAGUAUUUUGUUGAGGAUUUUUACAUUUAUGUUCAUCAGUGAUUGCAUCUCCUAUUUUAAGUGAUACAAAUGGUUACGGAUUGUGUUCUUAAUUACACAGCUUUAUUUGGUUUUGAAUGUUCACAUCAAUCUUUGUUACUAGAAGUCCAGUAACUUCAUAAAUGUUACUACACACAAUUUGUGAUUUUCCCUGUCUAAACACUUUAGUAACACACAUCUUAUGAUUCCAAGCAGUAAUCUUGUCUUAAAGUGUUUACUUGCCUUCUUAUUUCUCAAAAACAAGCUAGAAACAGCUGCCUGUAGCAUAAUUCAAUUAACCAAAAUGCAGAAAUAAUCAGCCUUAUUCACAGCAAAAGUGAACCUUUAUGGAGCCCUGCCUUGAAAAAAAUCUGACUGUAAUCUAUACAACCAAGACCUGCAUAUUAUAAGCAGUGAAGAUCUAUGAGAUUAGGGGGGAAUAUGUUUUUCAACUGUCUUGUUUUUAAGGAUGCAUGUAAAUUUAGCAUAUUUAUUUAUCUGAACACUUAAUCAAAAGAUAUAAGAAAUGUAUCUUGGAGAAUAUUUGGAAUAUUAGAAAACAUGUGGACACAGAUUUUUAGCUUUCUUUCUAUACUCAAAUAUGGUCUGCUAAUAUGAUGAUGUCAACAUGAUUAGAAGUAUUGCUGGUAAAUAAUUGUUAAACUGCACUCUUUACAAGAUGCUGAAGAUUGCUUUUCUGAUAUUUUUUGUCUAAUUCCAUGCCAAGGAUUAUUAUACGCACAAACAUAAUUAAUAUAUAAAUACCUCAUGCACCCUGACAAUGUGUGCUACAGAUAACCAGCAAUACUGGCUCUUAACACUUGCGAUCUCACUAAAACAAAGUGGAAAGCUAACUUUAUACAGUAAACCUAUAUAUACUAUAAUAAAACUUUAUUCAAUCC